GCUCACUCAAGAACCCAGCCCCCAUAGUGUGAGGAGGCCUAGGACAGUUACAGAAGCCAUGUGUAGGUGUUCUGGCUCCAGCAAAAGUCUUAUCUGACAACAUCAACUACAUGUUAGUGGCCUUUCCUUGAAAUUGCUGGAGCUUGUGCAUCAUCAAAAUAAUGGCAUAAACCAAGGAAGAAGAAAACAAAAUUGAGGAAAUGGGAUCCAACACAAAAGAGAGACAACAGGAUUAAUUGAGUGUUGGUGAAAAGCCACAGCCUGUAAAUAAUGCAGUUCGAACUGAAAUAGACCAGGAGGCUCAAGGAGAGACUUCUUCAAGAAGAUAAAAUUGAUAGAAUGCCUAAGGAGUUUGAGUGCAUUGAGAAUAGAUUCAUAUCAGUUCUGGAGAACUGGGUGGAUACAUUAAUGUAUAACCUCAUCCUGGAGCAGGGCACCCUAUCGUCAGAUGGUAUCAUCUUUAAGGGGUUGUCUCAGCCAUGCCUUUAGAAUUACCUUUCAUUGCUUGUCAUGCUGGAAGCUUCUGAAUGUUGCAUUUUGUGAUAGAAACAGUGGGUACCAUGGUCAUGUGCUCACAUCUCCUUUGCGGUAAAGAAAAGGAUCACUCAUUAACAUCCACCAGAUAACAUUCUCCAUGAAAGCACCAAAUAAGGUUUGUCUUGGUCCAUUUUAUGCUGCUAUAACAGAACACCACAGACUGAGAAAUUUAUAAGGAAUAGAAGUUUAUUUGCCUCAUGUUUCUGGAGGCUGGGAAUUCCAAGAUCAAGGGGCUGCAUAGAUUGAGGUCCUUUUUGCUGACUCAUAACGUGGAAAGAGAGUGCACUGCAUAGAAGAAAGGAGGCCAAACUCAUUCUUUUAUCAUGAGCCUACUCCUGAAAUAACUCACUCUCAAGAUAAUGGCAUUAAUCCAUUCAUGAAGGCAGAAUACUCAUGAUGUAAUCACCUCUUAAAAGACUAACCAGAAUUGGCUACAGUUUCUUCAAGAAAAUACCCCAAUGGAAGAAAAAAAGGUGGAGGGAGAAACUGAAUGAAGAAAGGAUGAUUUGAAAUUACCAGAAAGUGGAACGUGGAAAAAACAGAGUAAAACUAGUUUGAGAAUAAAAUCUUAGGUUGUAACAUC
rnacentral:lncRNA from 1 species